AACGAACGCUGGCGGCAUGCCUAACACAUGCAAGUCGAACGAAGGCUUCGGCCUUAGUGGCGCACGGGUGAGUAACACGUGGGAACCUGCCUUCUGGUUCGGGAUAACGUCUGGAAACGGACGCUAACACCGGAUAAGCCCUUCGGGGGAAAGUUUACGCCAGGAGAGGGGCCCGCGUCCGAUUAGGUAGUUGGUGGGGUAACGGCCUACCAAGCCGACGAUCGGUGGCUGGUCUGAGAGGAUGAUCAGCCACACUGGGACUGAGACACGGCCCAGACUCCUACGGGAGGCAGCAGUGGGGAAUAUUGGACAAUGGGGGCAACCCUGAUCCAGCAAUGCCGCGUGAGUGAUGAAGGCCUUAGGGUUGUAAAGCUCUUUUACCAGGGAUGAUAAUGACAGUACCUGGAGAAUAAGCUCCGGCUAACUCCGUGCCAGCCGCCGCCGUAA
rnacentral:rRNA from 1 species